rnacentral:tRNA from 1 species
GAGGUUGUGGCUCAGAGGUAGAGCACUCCCUUAGCGUGUGUGAGGAACUGGGUUCAAUCCUCAGCACCACA